CUAAGCAUAUCAAUAAGCGGAGGAAAAGAAACCAACAGGGAUUGCCCUAGUAACGGCGAGUGAAGCGGCAACAGCUCAAAUUUGAAAUCUGGCCUCGGCCCGAGUUGUAAUUUGCAGAGGAUGCUUCUGGCGCGGUGCCUUCCGAGUUCCCUGGAACGGGACGCCACAGAGGGUGAGAGCCCCGUAUGGUCGGACACCAAGCCUGUGUGAAGCUCCUUCGACGAGUCGAGUAGUUUGGGAAUGCUGCUCUAAAUGGGAGGUAAAUCUCUUCUAAAGCUAAAUACCGGCCAGAGACCGAUAGCGCACAAGUAGAGUGAUCGAAAGAUGAAAAGCACCUUGAAAAGGGGGUUAAAUAGUACGUGAAAUUGUUGAAAGGGAAGCACUUAUGACCAGACUUGGGCCGGGCGGCUCAUCAGGGGUUCUCCCCUGUGCACUCCGCCCGGCACAGGCCAGCAUCGGUUCUCGUGGGGGGAUAAGACCGUCAGGAACGUAGCACCCUCCGGGGUGUGUUAUAGCCUGGCGGACGAUACCCCCGUGGGGACCGAGGUCCGCGCUCCGCAAGGAUGCUGGCGUAAUGGUCAUCAGUGACCCGUCUUGAAACACGGACCAAGGAGUCGUCCAUUAGAGCGAGCGUUUGGGUGUAAAACCCGCACGCGUAAUGAAAGUGAACGCAGGUGAGAGCUUCGGCGCAUCAUCGACCGAUCCUGAUGUUCUCGGAAGGAUUUGAGUAAGAGUUUUAACGGACGGACCCGAAAGACAGUGAACUAUGCUUGUAUAGGGUGAAGCCAGAGGAAACUCUGGUGGAGGCUCGCAGCGGUUCUGACGUGCAAAUCGAUCGUCAAAUAUGAGCAUGGGGGCGAAAGACUAAUCGAAC
rnacentral:rRNA from 1 species